rnacentral:rRNA from 1 species
GACGAACGCUGGCGGCGUGCCUAAUACAUGCAAGUUGAGCGCUGAAGGUUGGUACUUGUACCAACUGGAUGAGCAGCGAACGGGUGAGUAACGCGUGGGGAAUCUGCCUUUGAGCGGGGGACAACAUUUGGAAACGAAUGCUAAUACCGCAUAAAAACUUUAAACACAAGUUUUAAGUUUGAAAGAUGCAAUUGCAUCACUCAAAGAUGAUCCCGCGUUGUAUUAGCUAGUUGGUGAGGUAAAGGCUCACCAAGGCGAUGAUACAUAGCCGACCUGAGAGGGGGAUCGGCCACAUUGGGAAUGAGACACGGCCCAAACUCCUACGGGAGGCAGCAGUAGGGAAUCUUCGGCAAUGGACGAAAGUCUGACCGAGCAACGCCGCGUGAGUGAAGAAGGGUUUCGGAUCGUAAAACUCUGUUGGUAGAGAAGAACGUUGGUGAGAGUGGAAAGCUCAUCAAGUGACGGUAACUACCCAGAAAGGGACGGCUAACUACGUG